rnacentral:rRNA from 1 species
UAGGGAAUCUUCGGCAAUGGACGAAAGUCUGACCGAGCAACGCCGCGUGAGUGAAGAAGGUUUUCGGAUCGUAAAACUCUGUUGUUAGAGAAGAACAAGGACGUUAGUAACUGAACGUCCCCUGACGGUAUCUAACCAGAAAGCCACGGCUAACUACGUGCCAGCAGCCGCGGUAAUACGUAGGUGGCAAGCGUUGUCCGGAUUUAUUGGGCGUAAAGCGAGCGCAGGCGGUUUCUUAAGUCUGAUGUGAAAGCCCCCGGCUCAACCGGGGAGGGUCAUUGGACACUGGGUGACUUGAGUUCAGAAGAGGAGAGUGGAAUUCCGUGUGUAGCGGUGAAAUGCGUAGAUAUAUGGAGGAACACCAGUGGCGAAGGCGGCUCUCUGGUCUGUAACUGACGCUGAGGCUCGAAAGCGUGGGGAGCAAACAGG